rnacentral:rRNA from 1 species
GCCUUAGUAACGGCGAGUGAAGCGGCAACAGCUCAAAUUUGAAAGCUGGCCCUUUUAGGGUCCGCGUUGUAAUUUGUAGAGGAUGAUUCGGCGAGGGCUCCUGCCUAAGUCCCCUGGAACGGGGCGUCAUAGAGGGUGAGAAUCCCGUAUGCGGUAGGUUGCCUUAGCCAUGUGAAUCUCCUUCGACGAGUCGAGUUGUUUGGGAAUGCAGCUCUAAAUGGGAGGUAAAUUUCUUCUAAAGCUAAAUACUGGCCAGAGACCGAUAGCGCACAAGUAGAGUGAUCGAAAGAUGAAAAGCACUUUGGAAAGAGAGUUAAAAAGUACGUGAAAUUGUUGAAAGGGAAGCGCUUGCAACCAGACUUGUCCGCAGUUGCUCAGCCGGUCUCCUGACCGGCGUACUCUUCUGCGGCCAGGCCAGCAUCAGUUCGGGCGGUCGGAUAAAGGCCUCGGGAAUGUAGCUCCUCUCGGGGAGUGUUAUAGCCCGGGGUGGAAUGCGACCAGCCUGGACUGAGGAUCUCGCUUCGGCAAGGAUGCUGGCGUAAUGGUUGUAAGCGGCCCGUCUUGAAACACGGACCAAGGAGUCUAACAUCUAUGCGAGUGUUCGGGUGUCAAACCCGUACGCGUAAUGAAAGUGAACGGAGGUGGGAACCCGCAAGGGUGCACCAUCGGCCGAUCCUGAUGUCUUCGGAUGGAUUUGAGCAAGAGCAUAGCUGUUGGGACCCGAAAGAUGGUGAACUAUGCCUG